rnacentral:lncRNA from 1 species
GAAAAUAAACACAAGUUUACACUUGGAAAAUUGAGAAAUAAAUAAUAUGAACUCUCCUCACAAUUCAGAAAUAUGAUGAUGAUAAGAGAGAUGCACGAAGCCAGUCACUCAGUCCAUCGCUGAUAAAUUGCCGAAAAGAAGAAAGCAAGGACAGAGUUUAAGGACCUGGCAGCGGACCUUAUAAUCUCAAACACAUCUGCAAAACGCCGCUCCUGCAGACCCCAAAGCGUGGAAAAGCAUUCCACCAACAUUAUCAUAAGUUCCAGAAAGAGUACCAAAUACUAAUUCACACUUACAGUAAUUUUAAGAGGAAUAGAAGGAUCUUUGUUCGGCCGACGAGCUCUGCAAUGUUGAAAAUUGUCCACCCGAAUUCCCCAUUGCAGAUAAAUCAAACAAAAAUAGUGCGUAGGUUGUGUGCUAUUUUUUGUUUUAUAUAUGCGCGUCAAUCUUUGGACUUGACGGUGUUUAUAGUGAAAUGCUUAUAGGAAGAGUUAUUGCCAUGCUUAAUAAAUGAUCCAUAACCUGCACUAAUUAGAGAUUGGAAAGUAACAUUGACACCAUUGAGGCCGGGAACGGUAACAAUUCUUACAUGAAAUUGGGAAACAAAUUUUAUGAUAAGCCGAUAACAUUACAUGUCAAAGUUUGGUCAAUCAUAAUUCAUAGAUACACAAACAUUAGAAUGUUCAUCCCCUGACCCCUCCCUCCGUAUAUAAAUAUGUUUUUGUAAUUUGAUUCAUGUAUUCAUAGUUUGAAUAUUGUUGAUGCAGUCUUUAUGAUUUCCAUUAAUUCAUUGUUUUCAUACUUGUAAUUAUCUCUUUAACCAGACAUUGAAAGUGGAUUAAUUGCUUAUCUGA